GGAGGAGUGCCAGAGUGGUUGAAUGGGCAGACCUGGAAAGUCUGUGUAUCAGAAAUGGUACCGUGGGUUCGAAUCCCACCUCCUCCG
rfam:Parcubacteria bacterium GW2011_GWA1_40_21 TT90_C0010, whole genome shotgun sequence.